rnacentral:rRNA from 1 species
AGGUUCAAUGUGAACGGCACCAGCACAUGGGUUAGUCAAUCCUAUGGGUCGGGGGAAUCCCGACAGAUAGCGCGUUUCGUGUGUACUCCGUAAGGGAAUGGGUUAAAAUUCCUGAACCAAAACGUGGAGGUAGACGACAACGUUAGGAAGUUGGCAAACGUUGGUGGGAGCUUCGGGAAGAGUUGUCUUUUCUGUUUAACAGCAUACCCACCAUGGAAUCGGCUUGCCGGAGGUACAUUCCAGCGGCUGGAGGAGCACCUCACGUCACUUGGUGUCUAGUGCCCUCCCGGUGAUCCUUGAAAACCCAGAGGACCUAAUGCCGUCGACACUCGGUCAUACU